rnacentral:rRNA from 1 species
GAUGAACGCUGGCGGCGUGCCUAAUACAUGCAAGUCGAGCGGACAAACGAGGAAUUUGCUUCUCUGACGUUACGGGCGGACGGGUGAGUAACACGUGGAUAACCUACCUAUAAGCCUGGCAUAACUACGGGAAACCCGAUCUAAUAUCGGUGAUUAUAUUGCACCACAUGGUUCAAUAGUGAAAGACGGUUUUGCUGACUCUUGUAGGUGGAUCCGCGCCGGAUUAGCUAGUGCGUAAGGUAACGGCUUACCCAAGCUACGAUGCGCAGCCGACCUGAGAAGGGGGUUAGCUACACGGGAACAGAGACACGGCCCAGACUCCUACGGGAGGCAGCAGUAGGGAAUUGUACGCAAGGGGCGAAAGCCUGACGGAGCAAGGCCGCGUGAGUGAUGAAGGUGUUCGGAUCGUAAAACGCUGUUAUUAGGGAAGAACAAAAGUGUAAGUAACUAUGCACGUCUUGACGGUACCUAAUCAGAAAGCCACGGCUAACUACGUG